UCGGGAAUUUUGGGCAAUGGGCGAAAGCCUGACCCAGCAACGCCGCGUGAAGGAUGAAGUAUUUCGGUAUGUAAACUUCGAAAGAAUAGGAAGAAUAAAUGACGGUACUAUUUAUAAGGUCCGGCUAACUACGUGCCAGCAGCCGCGGUAAUACGAAGGUCCCAAGCGUUGUUCGGAUUUACUGGGCGUAAAGAGUCUGUAGGCGGUGGGGUAAGUCAGAUGUGAAAUCCCGGGGCUCAACCCCGGAACUGCAUCCGAUACUGCCUUACUUGAGGGUCGGAGGGGAGUCUGGAAUUCUCGGUGUAGCGGUGAAAUGCGUAGAUAUCAAGAGGAACACCUGAGGUGAAGACGGGUUGCUGGGCUGACACUGACGCUGAGGCACGAAAGCGUGGGUAGCGAAUCGGAUUAGAUACCCCAGUAGUCCCUGAGCGGGCUGGCAAGGCGCAU
rnacentral:rRNA from 1 species